CCUCGUGGGUUUGAAUAUUAUGACUCUUUUAAUAAUAUUUCUUGUAUGUCCAUUUUUUCUUCGAUACAACAUGAGAAUCAAACCGGGAGAGAGAGAAGAAAAGAGAGCACGACCUGUGGAGAUAACAAAGAGAGAGAGAAAGAGGUCGGGGAGUGGGGUUGGCUUCUUCGGCUGAGAGAGAGAGGUGGCGUGGUUGGGAUUCCGACGAGAUUAAUGGAUAGGUUAGGGGAGUGAAUUCCAGCGAGAAAGAUACAGAAAGACGGAGGGUUAAAGUUCCGGCAAGAGAGAGAGAGAAACGGGGGGUUGGCCUUUCUUCGAUCAAGAAAGAAACAGAUAGCAUGGUUGUGAUUCCAACGAGAGAUAAAGGGGUGGGCUAUACGGCUUCCUUUUGAUGAGAGAGAGGGAGGUUGGAGUUCUGGCAAGAGAGAGGUUGGGGGUGAUGGUUCCAGUGAUAGAGAGAUGUCGAGGAUUGGGGCAGAGGUCAGAGGGUAGUGAGUGUUCAGGAAGAGGUUGGAGGUCGAGGGUUGCAAGUGAGGUCGAGGGUUAGGAACCCAGUGUGAAAGGUGGUGGUAAGAAGGGUUCUACCAAGAGAGACGAAGAGGGAGAGAGGAUUCUAAUGGCGAGAGAGAUGAAGGGUUCCACGGAGAAAGAGAGGUUUUUG
rnacentral:lncRNA from 1 species